UACGGGGGGCGCAAGCGUUAUCCGGAAUUAUUGGGCGUAAAGAGCUCGUAGGCGGUUUGUCGCGUCUGCCGUGAAAGUCCGGGGCUCAACUCCGGAUCUGCGGUGGGUACGGGCAGACUAGAGUGAUGUAGGGGAGACUGGAAUUCCUGGUGUAGCGGUGAAAUGCGCAGAUAUCAGGAGGAACACCGAUGGCGAAGGCAGGUCUCUGGGCAUUAACUGACGCUGAGGAGCGAAAGCAUGGGGAGCGAACAGG
rnacentral:rRNA from 1 species